AAGACAAUUGACCAUCUCCAAUAUCUAGAACUUUCAGAUAAGGGAAUGAGGGUACUUCGGACAAAAAUCAAGAUGUUCGAUGUAAACCAGCUCUUUUGAGAUUCUUACCCACAUGAUUUUUCUUUCUCUCUAUAGGAUCUUUAGUUUCAGUUUGUCUAAAUCUGCCUUCUUCUUCCUCUGUAAUGCAAAGAGAUGACUCGCUCAAGGAUCCAACACCCUCCUCGUCCGUGAUGAUGAGACGACACCAUUCUGGACGUGUUUUCUCCAUCUCCUCCUGCUCCAUCAUUCUUCUUGUUGUCCAUGUCCUUGGAACCCGAUACAGGUCCAGAUACGAAAGACAUCAAUCAAUUCAACUCGCUUCUCCCUCAAGCCUUGAGACUCCAAGUGUCAAAAUAUCGGUGCAUGUCCCUCUUCCCACUCCUUAAUCCAUAUUUUAUAACCAGAAAAGGUAACAAAUGUUUGUAUUGUAGAUAGGAGUAGUUCUGGUUCCUCUCUUGUUGUUUUCUUUCUUAACUAUUGUGUACCAAUUUUCUUUUAAUUUCGUCAUCAUCCAGGUGGUGGAUAGAUAUAAUUUACAAUCGCUGGUGAUUUCAAAACAUCAGGGUCUGGAACAUUGAAGCAUAACUGAUUGAUUUUGGUGAAACGCAACUGGAGAGAAAAAUUGAUAUUGGCAUAAGGUGCUUACCAUAACAUCAUAGAUGAAACAAAUGAAAGUCCUUUGAAGGAGAGCGUAACCAGCGAGACCCAUUUCACUGUUGUGACCCAAGAAAGCUUGAGCUACCACUACGCAGCCAAACGACAUCACUCUGAACAAAGACGAUGGUAAAGCUAUUCUCCACAUCUUCCUUAUAAAACUCCAGAUCUUUUUUCUUAGUUAGAUACUGUUUCUCCUCUGUUCUAUCUCUGGCCCAUUUAGCAGUCUCUCUUCCAUUUCUACAAUCAAAAGAAAAUAUAUUAUAAUUAUUAUUUAUAUGAACACAUGCCACAAAGAUAAAUUAAGUUUCUCUCAGUUUCAUCCUAGUUCAAGAAGAAAAUUAAACAGAAGAGAACCAUUUUUUUUGUUUUGAGAACCCAGGGAAACAAAUUAUUACCCAGAAUACCAUUCUUAACAUUUUUUCUUUCAGUUAACUUAAUAAUCCAUCAAAAAAAAACAAACCAGUGAAUAUAAUAUUUUCUCUGUUUCAACUUGUCAAUUAAGUCAAUCUAACAAUCGUUGUUGUAUUUGUUUCAUUAUAGUUAUGAGCAAGAGAUUUUACCUGAUUGCUUCACACAGUAUUCAACAGGGAGCUUCUCUUAACUAUGUGUCCAUGCCUCUUUAUGUUUCAAGUACAUGGACGGCACCAGAUUGAAAGGUUAGCAUCAGAAUUUCUAAGUAAUUGUGUAAUUGUUUGGGACAGAUUCAAGCACACCUGCUAUAUUUUAUCUUACAAACCACUCAUUAGGCUAAAAGUAAACAAUUGCGUUCACAAAAUAAAUCUUACUGAAAGUAUGAAAAAGAAUACCAUAUAAAAAAUAUAACACACAAACUCUAUAAUGAAACUGCAAAAAAAAAUUGGAUAAGAAGCUGAAAUGUUUGUUCAAACCUUGGUAACUCACUUUUAUAUGCGGUGCUUGGAAUCUUACAUAAAAAUAGAUUUAUCUUUAUAAGGUUUUGUAUUGUAAGAAAGACAUAUAUAGUGACUCACUUAUAGAAUUAAUAUGUAUAUAUAUAUACAUAUAGUCAAUGUGAUAAAUUAUAAUAUUGAAUAAUCAAAGCACGACAUAUAAAAUCACCGGCUUUUAGCAAGAGAUUUAAUUUAGACUAGGAUAAGACCCGCGCCUUGCGCGGGAUUAAGUUAUUAUUUUUAUUAUAUUUUGGAGAAUGAAACAAUAGUUUGGCUUCAUAUAGAUUACGGGUGUUCAAUCCGGAUAUCGGGUUGGUUUCGGUUCGGUUCGGUUUUUUUCGGUAUUUGGUUAGUAAAAUAUAACUACUAUUCUAAAUCCAUAUUUACUUUGACUUUAGUCUUUAACAUACUUUUGAAAGAUUUCAACUGGACGAAUAAAUUGAUCAGCCAAUCUUAUUGCUUUAAAUCAUUAGUGUUUAUAUAUAUAUAUAUAUAUAUAUAUAUUAUUUAGUUUGAAUAUUUAUUAAAUAAAAAUUCAUAUGCGUUAUAUUUUAUGAUCAUUUGUAACUUAUUAUAACAAAAAAAUAAUCUAUUGAUCACAAAAUUUUCACGUGGGAAUAUUCAAAUUUCUAAUAAUAUAUAGACUUUUUGAAAAAUUCAAAUAUAACAUAUAAGAAAAAAUAUAAAUGUUUUUAUUAUAUAUUUAAUGUGAUUUUUUAAUAUCUUUCAAUAAUAUAAAAUUAAAAAAAAAGAACGAAGAUACCAAAAUUGUUAUCAAAUAUUUAUUAUUCAUAAUAAUUAAUUUUCAUAUAUACGUUAAUCAUAUUAGGUAAUUUUGUAGCUUUUAAUUAAGGAAAGUGCAAAAAAAAUUUUGGUAGAUUAUUUAUCAAUUCGAUAGUUAGUUUAAUAAAAAAUAUAAUGUAAGUCAAGAUGGACCAACCUAUUUUUCUAAGAAUAGUAUAUUUUAUAUAGUCAUUUAUUAAACGAGAAUUUAUAAUCAUAGAGUUCUAUGAUCAUUCAUAUCAUUUUAUAACUGAAUAUUUAAAUCAUCGAUAACAAAAUUUUCAAUGUGAAAUCUUUAAUAAGUUUAUAAUUUAUAAAUGUUUUUGAAAAUUCAUUAAAAGUUUUAAUAUUAAAAUAUUUAUGUAAUCUUAUGGUAUAUAGUAUAAUCUAUAUAUAUAUAUAUAUAUAUAUGUAUGUUUUAUUAUUAAAUGAUAUUUUUUACUCAUAUGGUUUUAAAAUAAUGUGUAUCUUCUUAUAAUAUUAAAUAAAAGUUCAUAUUAAUACAAUUUUAUGAUCAUUUGUAACUUAUUAUGACAAAAAAAAUAAUCUAUUGAUCACAAAAUUUUCAGUGUGGGGAUCUUCAAAUUUCUAAUAAUUUAUAGAUGUUUUGAAAAAUUCAAAAUAUAACAUAUAAGAAAAAUUAUAAAUGUUUUUAUUAUAUAUUUAAUGUGAUUUUUAAAUAUAUUUUAAUAAUAUAAAAUUAAAAAAAAAGAACUAAGAUACAAAAAUUGUUAUCAAAUAUUUAUUAUUCAUUAUAAUUAAUUUUCACAUAUACGUUAAUCAUAUUAGGUAAUUUUGUAGCUUUUAUUUAAGGAAAGUGCAAAACAUUUUUUGGUACGUUAUUUAUCAAUUCGAUAGUUAGUUUAAUAAAAAGUGUAAUAUAAGUUAAGAUGGACCAACCUAUUUUUCUAGAAAUAGUAUAUUUUGUAUAGUUAUUUAUUAAAUAAGAAUUUAUAAUCAUACGGUUCUAUGAUCGUUCAUAUCGUUUUAUAACAAAAUAUUUAAAUCAUCGAUAACAAAAUUUUCAAUCUGAAAUCUUUAAUAAGUUUAUAAUUUAUAAAUGUUCUUGAAAAUUCAUUGAAAGUUUUAAUAUUAAAAUAUUUAUGUAAUCUUAUGGUAUAUAGUGUUUAAUAUAUAUAUAUAUAUUUUAUUAUUAAAUGAUAUUUUUUACUCAUAUGGUUUUAAAAUCAUGUGUAUCUUCUUAUAAUAAAAAUGUUAAACCAUUGAUCAUUAAUUUUUAACAUAAUAAUUUUAAUAGUUUUAGUCAUUUAUUGUCGUUUUUAAAAAUUCAAAAUAUAACAUAUACGAAAAAAUCUAAAUUUUAUUUUUAUAGCUAAUUUGAUUGUUUAAUUUAUUUUAAUAAUAUAAAAUUAAACAGAAAAUGAUGGAGGAGAUAUACAUUGUUAUCAAAUCUUUAUUAUUAAACUCAUUAAUUGUCAUAUAUAUUAGUCAUUUAUGGUAAUUCCGUAGGUUUUAUUUAAGGAAAGAAAAUAUCAUAUCAUAUCAUUAUAUCAUAUAGUUUGACCAACUUAUGUAUCUAACAACAUAUAAAAAUCGAAUGUGGACCUACUUAUUUUUCAAUUGAAUGUAAUUGACUACCUAAUUGAGUGCCACCUAUGCAUUGGAGCCUCUUUUAAUUAAUACAAAAUUGAGGUUACAUCUUUUCAAAUGUUCCUCAAUUAAUAUAUAAGGGAUUGAUGCGGUCAAUAAUAUCUUACCAAAAUUGUAAGUUAUCAGUUUAUAUAUUUUGAUUGUCCGUGCAUACAAAGUUUCACAUUAACAAAAUUAUAUAUUUGCUUUCUUAACACAUAUUCGAAAAUAAUGGCAUAAUUAACUGAGGAGAGAUUCACUCUGCACACAAAAUAUAACUCAAGGUCACGUGAAUGAUGUGAACAUAUGAGCUAAAACAUACAGAUAAGAUAUGGAACGAUAACCGAAUCAUAGAAUGUAAUAUAACAAAUCAUAAUUUCAAAUAUAUGUUGUUUGAGUUGAACGGCUUCUCUAUUGUAUGAGUUACUUUUUAUUUUUGUUUCAGAAAUGUUAAACAAUAACAUGAGAUGUGCACAAGUGUGUAAAUUCAACGGUAGAGUUCGUGAGUAUUGUUCGUCAUAACAUGCUUGUAUAAUGGAGUAAGUGUCUUUGGUACGUGUAAAUUCAUUAGUUUAUCUUGAUGAAUAAGACUUCGAAAUGUUAAUGUCAAAAUGUCUCCAAGUACAAUGGAAUAAAACUUGGAGACAUCUUGGAUCCAAUUCCUUAGGAGAACUGGUGCCAAUAGGUGUGAUAGGAAGCUUAAGUUUAGUUGUAAAGAAUAUGUUUGUAUAGACCAAUAUGACAUAUCGUUUUGAACAGGUAUGGUAAUAAGCUUGAGUUUAAUUAUCGAGACUAUGCUUGUAUAGAGCAAUAUGACAUUAUUUUGAACCGAAAGACAUAUUGUCAUGAACAAACGUAACUACAAUAUAAUGUCAUUCUACUUAAUUGGGAAACGUUUUGUUUAUAUCGUAGGUGAGAAUGAAUAAGUCGAGUUCUUCUGCUGGAGUGGGUUCCAUUGUAAAACAUGUCGAGUCGAGCUUUAGAGAUUAUAUACGAAGUUGUGGUGGAGAAAACCGGUUAAGAAAGCUUGACGAUUGAAGUGAGUUAUUGACUUAUUUUAUGUACCGUGUAAUGUCCUAUGUUAAAGAAAAAAUGUGUAAUAGGUACCAAUGGCAAUACUUGUAAAUAUCCUAGUAAUUAAAGGCUUAUUAACUAAGAUUGAUGAGGAGAGCUGUGAGCUUGCCACAUCAGCAAAAAUGGCAAAAUUGUUAUUAAUCUACCAAAGCAAGGUUACUCUUACCAAUUGCUUCUCUAUUAAUAAUAAGGGGAUGAGAAAUCAUCACAAAAACUACGAGAAUCUUUGUGAUUUACAACAGCUGUGUGGUUCUUCCUCCUGUGAUCUCGAAAAUGAUUUAUAGGGGUGUCAAGAAUACGAUCUUGGAAGCAAUUUCGUACCCUCUUGUCUCUUUGUAUCACUUAAUCUUUGUGUAAUGUUGUUUUGGUUGCUCUACCUUGUUUUUAUUUGUUUUUGCCGAGUUAGAGUAUUUUUUAGAUUCUACUUUAUAAAAUCUGAGCAUCAUUAAUAUAAUAUUAGCAUUAUUAGCAAAAAAAAAACUUACGAGAAUCAAAUGUGUAUAUAAAACAUCUUUAUAUAUAUAAAAGACUUUGUUUAUCUCCUGGGUGUGCCAACGAGGACACCACGUCAUAAAUCCAAGCCCUGCCGCGUCGACACGUCAGAAACUCACCGUUUCACUAAAGCGUUCUUAUAUGGUUACGGGCUUUGCGGUGGGCUUUGUCAUGCAAUUUGAUGUUAAGGCCCGACGACAAACAAAUUUGGUAAGAACCCUAAUCCGGGUUGGAGAGCGCCUCCGUGUUCUUCGCUUCUCUCAUUGGCGGAGACGACGAUUUGGAUUUCUUUAACGUUAUGCGUUGUGAUUUUCUCCCAUAAAUCCUCUUAAUUCGUAAACUCACUACCAGACCUUUCGAUUGCAUCGUUUGUCGACUAAAUCGUGUAUAAAUAUCUCUCUUAUGCUAACCACGACUUCCACAUCUCUCUUCUACACAUCUUAUGCUCAUCUCUGUGCUCAUCUCUGUUAAUGGCUAACACGACUGCUUUUUUUUUUUAUCUGAAGUCUGGGCGGUGCUCAUCCGUUGUAGAGGCCAGACUGCUUCGAUUCUGGAGGCUAGGAAUGUUAAGCGUGGUGGAGAGCCUAUGUGGAUGGAUUUGUUCAUGGUGGAUGUUAACGUGAGUGGUUUUUUGUUCUCUUCUUUGUAUCAAACGUUCUGGGUUAAUAUUAACAAUCGUGCCGUUAUUAUUUCUCUGUGAGCUCUAGGCUGUUUAUAUGUUUGAUAUUUUUUCCGGUGAACCUGAUCGUGUCUUACUUUUAAAAAAUUUCUUAAUUUUUUUUAGAUGCUGAUGUGCAUUGUUUCUUGAAUUUUUGUAAGUACAUGCAUAGAUAGAUAGGUCGUUGUGAAUAGAGCUAUCAAUUUCUCAUGCAAUCAAGUUCACCCACUAAUUCUUCUUCAAUGGAACUUUAAUCCAGAUGAACAGAUUACAUGAUGAACAGAUUAAUGAUUUGUUGUAUUACAAAUGAACAGAUUAAUGAUUUGUUGUAUGCUGAUCCAUCUCAUGAUUUGUUGUACGCUGAUCCAUCUCAUGAUUUAUUGUAUUACAGAUGAACAGAUUAAUGAUUUGUUGUACGCUGAUCCAUCUCUUAUUUGCUUAAGUACCUCUAACUCUGUAAUUACAGAUGAACAGAUUAAUGAUUUGUUGUACGCUGAUCCAUCUCAUGUCACUUGCCAACACAAACACUGGUUUUCCAGGUUUCAAUUGUAAACCAUACUAUACAAAUUAUAAAUUUCACUGCCAAGUAGCCUUAAUAUUUUCUUUGGUUAGCAGACUUGGUUGGCGAAGUCAGGGGCAUUAAAACAAUUUACAACGAAGAGACCCAGAGUACUUAACGUCUCAAGACAACCACAAGGCUUGAUAGGUAUAUGACAACCCUGGUGUUCUUUUUUUAAUUUCCCCCAUUACACACAUUGGUGACUUGCACGUUUGUUCAAGGAUGAAAAACAUGGAGUUUGGCCUCCGGCCCUCCGCAGGCACUCGACUGUCUGCUUGAGUGUAUUUGGUGGGCUUGCUGGGCAGAAGGACAAAAAAAGGCGCUACUCUGAUGUAGAGUAGACCAAAGUUUGUUGUUGGAACAAAUAUAUAUACCCAAAGUUUGUUGGAGGUAAGAACGAACUCUCUUUUAGGAUUUGUACACUAGGGUCUUGGGGUUAAGUUGUGGUUGUGUUCAAUACAUAAGUGAACAAAUUUUUUUUUAAAAAUGUCUACCCUAAGUUUGAGGGAGCCCCUCUUUCACGCUAAGUUGCUAUAUAUUGACGCCUAACCACGUUUAAUAUUGGCAAAAUCAUCACACAUAACCUCUUUGAUUGCAGGCAGGCUGUUCAUCAACGCUUCUUCUGGUACUCAUUCAGCUCCAUAGAACAUUCCGAUCAGAGAUAAAGACAGAGAGACACCAUUGGGUGGCCGAGUAUCAUGAGAGGAAACACAAGAAGCUCAAGAGAUACCAUAGAUUCUUUUGUGUCUUGCAGAGAGAUUGGCAAGGUGGUUGAAUAAGACAUGAUUGUUCUUAAUUUUGGUUUACUAUUUUCAGGAACUUAUGAUCCUGAUUCCUGGAACUAGAUGGUUUCUUUUGUUUUCUUUCAAACUAAUAUUGUAAUAUAUUCUAGAGAAUUACAGCGUUUCUUGCUCAUUAGAAUAUAUACGAACCAUGCCUGAUAUGAACAGGCCGACCAGAAAGAAAGUGGUUCGAAUCAGUCUUCACCAAAACUUGGGAUUACAAUUAAAGUUGGUGGUGGACUUUAAGAGGAAACAGAGUAACGAGACACCAAAUAUAACACUCAAAUGAUUUCUUUGGACACAAGUAACUGAUAUGUGUUGGGAAGUUUUUGUGGCGUUUAAUCCUUCAAUGUAAAAACAAAAAAAAAGAUGCACAUUUAUGGGUUGGGUGAUCGAUCUUCUCUCAUUCUCAAGUAUGAAAAUGAAUUUAAUUUGAUAUAUUCAGUUGCACAUAAUUUCAUAACUGUCAUAGUGGUACAAAAAAAAAAUCUAAAGUAAAUUACUAACAUUAAUCACUUUGUCAUAAUUAUUUAUGAAUAUACAGUAUUUGUGGUUUAAAUGUUGUUUGGGAUUCGCACUCUAACCCAACUAGGAAGAUAGUUAGAAGUGUAUAAACAAACUUUUUAACCUUAGAACUAAAUGAUUCUAAAACCAAAACGAAUCUUAAAUCAAUUGUAAACUUAACAAUUAUUUUGCAUAAGAACUUAAAUAACCGACACAGAAGAGUAUUUAGAUCAUAAUUAAGAUUUAGUUCGACUUUUGAUCAUCUUGCUCAUAAUUCUAUCAGGAUUUUCAGUUAUAAAAACAAUAAAUUGUAAGUUUUAAUCCUUUCAAAUUUGAAUAAAACCAUGAAUAAGUUAAAAAUAAAUUAUAAUAUAUCUAUCAAUUUAUAUUUAUAAUGGUUUAAAAAACACAUAUAUAUAUAUUCAAAUACAAAAAACAUUGCACAAAAAAAAGAUGUAAUAAAAUACAUGUCAAGAUUAUUAUAUUUUUUAAAGAAAUUAUUAUAGUAAAUAAUUAUUUUUUAAAGAAAUUGUUAUAGUUAGAUAAAUACAUAAUUUUAAAAAUAAAUAGUAAAAUAAAUAGUUAAGAUUAUUGUAAAAGAUUAUGAAAGUUUAUGUUACUUUUAGUGCUGACAAAAAGAGUUAAUACUACUUUUACUUAAAAGUGAAUUUAAAAUAAAUUAAUAUUUUUAUUUUAUUUAUUCGCCCUACGGACGGGUUUAUCCUAGUAUAAAAUAAACAUGACAUGUCAACAAGAAAAACAAAAGUAAUUAACUAAUACACGUACAUUAAACACUACGUACACAAACAAGAUACUGAAACGGUUUGAACAUCUAUAUAUAAAAUAAACACUGAGCAACACUCUUAUAGUUUUAAAUUUACUUAUAUCUAAACGUAAUGUUUUCUUUCUUGACAACAUAUUUGAAAAUGAACUUUAAAACGAAUUGUAGUAAGGAAUCUCUCUCUCUCUCUCUCUCUCUCUCUCUCUCUCUCUCUCUCUCUCUCUCUCUCUCUCUCUCUCUCUCUCUCUCUCUCUCUCUCUCUCUCUCUCUCUCUCUCUCUCUCUCUCUCUAUCUCUCUCUCAUAUCUUUUAGAGAGAGAGAGUGCGAUUUGGGUUCUUGUCGGUUUUGUUCCAACGUUCUCUUCCGGUUUCGGUGUUAUCCGAUCGGAUCAGAUUCCAGCGUCACAUCUUAACUCUCAAUUUUUGUCCGGCUUUUGUCUCUGUCAUCGUUGCCUUCUUCUCCGGCGAUGGCGGUUGGCUUUUGUCUCCGCGUCACACCCUUCUCUGGUGUUGUCGGCGGCUUUCCUUCGGGUUCUUCCCAGCUUGAUGUAUCUUUGCUUCUGGUGGUUCCCUUGCUCAAUCAACUCUCUUUCUUCAACUUCGACUGUUCUUUUCUUUCCCGAGUUGGGUUGUUUCAUCUUUGGGAUUAUUCGAAUUUACAAAGAUGACAGGUUUUCUUCAAGGAAAGUCGAAGUUUUUAGAUCAAUUGAAGAUGAUUGUAUUUUCAUUUUGAAUCGUAGAUCUGGUGGGCGUUUAUGGGUUUCAAUUAAGAUUGCUCCGGUUGAACCUUUUCUUCGUCGAUUCAUCUUUGCCGUCAGCGAGAUUCCGACGCUCCUCCUCUGUAUCACCGGCAGUGGAAAGUGGAGCUUCAUCUUGAUGUGUGUGUGCAUGGUAGAUGGGUGUCUGUACACGUGUAGGACAAUGUGUCCUUUCCUCUUCAAUGGUUUCUGCUUGUGGACUUAGGCCUCAAGUGUUAUGUAAACUCGACAUGUAUGUUCAUCUUCGUUUUAAUGUUUGCUUUGUCCUUUUUGGGUUUUUUAGCUUUAGCCAAUUCUUUUGGUUUUUUUUAUUGUAAAGAUGUAGGGUUUUGUCUCUGUUGGACUUUGUCCCACGUAAUAAAACCCAGGAAGAAAAAGAAAAACCGAAUUGUAGUAAGGCAAUUUGAAAGACUAGUCAAGGUUUAGUC
rnacentral:lncRNA from 1 species